rnacentral:lncRNA from 1 species
GCAAUAGCAAGAAAUCUUCAGUUGCACAGUAUUGUGCAAUAGCAAGAAAUUUUCAAUUGCACAGUAUUGCGCAAUAGCAAGAAAUCUUCAAUUGCACAGUAUUGUGCAAUAGCAAAUAUUUUCAAUUCCACAGUAUUGCGCAAUAGCAAGAAAUAUCUAAUUGCACAAUAUUGUGCAAUAGCAAGAAAUUUUCAAUUGGAGUUAUGUUUCUUUGUUCAGAAUAGUAGUUGAAUCAACUUAAAUCAUUGUUUUAUACAAUAUACAAUGUAUAUUCACUUUUACUACCAACCAAUCUUUACCAUUCAGUGAUAACAAGCACUUUAUUUUACAUUUUAAUAUUUUAUGAUGUAUUUAAAAGAGUAGUUAUUGUUGCAAACUCCAUUAGAAAUUUGAAUUGAUAUCAGUUUUGGAAAAAGGGAAAGGGGGAUGUGAAAAAAAAAUGGGGGGGGUUAAAUUUUUCUCAUAUCAGAUUUCAUAAAUAAAAAGAACAUUUCUUCAAACAUUUUUUUGAGAGGAUUAAUAUUCAACAGCAUAGUGAAUUGCUCAAAGGCAAAAAAAAAAUUAAGUUCAUUAGACCACAUUCAUUCUGUGUCAGAAACCUAUGCUGUGUCAACUAUUUAAUUUUAGAUUUAAAUAAGUUUGAAGAAGAAAUCUUUAAUUGAUUUGUAAAAUCUUGACAUUUGUUUUGUGUAAAAAACCCAUAUAAUGUCAAAAAUUUGAUCACAAUCCAAAUUCAGAGCUGUAUCACGCUUGAAUGUUUUGUCCAUACUUGCCCCAACUGUUCAGGC